CACAAAAAGAAGAUAUUUUGAAGAAUGUGGGUAACCAAACAGUUGACUGUAGCCAUUGACAUCCACAGUAUGGGGGAAAAAAUUACUAUGGAAGUCAAUGGUUAUCAUUAAUUGUUUGGCUACCAGCAUUCUUCAAAAUAUCUUCUUUUAUUUUCAGCAGAAGAUUUAUUUGUUUAUUUUUGUUGUUGUUACCUGAAUGCCUUUCAUAUUGUUACUUGAUAUAAACAAUGUUGUAUGGCAACAUUAUGUUUUAUUGUACUCUGACUUGACAGGACCUACGGCUGAGGUGAAAGGGUGUCUGUUUCUUUCUAAUCUAUCCCAUCCAUGAGUGUGUGCAACCUUAACCCAGUCUAAUCUGCUUCUGACACCAGAUCAAUAAACCGCCCACCCAAGUGCAAUUCAUCUGCUGUGGUUGGCCAUGGACUUGUUCUUAGCUUCAGCACAAACCUCACCCACCGCACAUCUGUAUGGCAUUAGCAACGCUGAGAGAUUUACAAGCGCUUUGCGAAUCCUGCGAAUGCAAAGCGUCCUGCAUUUACCCAACCUUGGCAAGAAACACCUUCAUAUGAGAAUCACAUUUGGGAUUCUAUUAUAUUGGAGCAACGAUUUAACGUGGUUCACGUGGGACUGAUCUUAGAUGGAUUCUUCCUCAGCUAACCAGAUGCUGGAGGUCUGGAAGCAGCAUUUUAACACGAAGCUUCUUGCUUCACAAGACUUUAAUUGAUGGACUGGAGUCAUGUGGAUUAUGUGAUGUUUUUAUCAGACUCUCAUUCUGACGGCACCCGUUCACUGCAGAGGAUCCAUUGGUGAGCAAG